ACUGAUGAAUGUAAAAAUUGUCUAAAUCAACAAUAGUUCAAGAAAACACGUCGUCGUUUCACCCGAGUUCUCUCUGUCAUUGCAUAUAACUCGUGAAAUCAUCAAAUACAAUACAUAUCCUAAUGAUAUUUUAAUCAUAUAAGUAUAAUGAAUUAAUUAUGGAUGUAAAAGAAAAACAGAGAAAAGAAAGACGUAGAGAACACGGAAAGUGGUUAGGACUAGGAGACAGCAGCUAAAGUGAGUAACGUCUUCGCUCUUCUCUGUCU
rnacentral:lncRNA from 1 species